rnacentral:rRNA from 1 species
GACGAACGCUGGCGGCGUGCCUAACACAUGCAAGUCGAACGGAAAGGCCCUGCGCCUGCUGCGUUCUCGAUCGGCGAACACGGGUGUGACACAUGUGUAACAUGCCCUUGACUGUCGGAUAACUUCAGGAGAAUGGGGCUAAUACCGGGUAGAAGCUCCUGCUGCACGGCGGUGGUUGGAAAGAGUCGGCGGUGGUGGAUGGACUCGAGGCUUAUGAGCUUGUUGGUGGAGUAGUGGCUUACCAAGGCUUUGACGGGUAGCCGGCCUGAGAGGGGGACCGGGCACAAUGGGACUGCGGUACGGAGCAGACGGGUACGGUCGGCAGUGGUCGGGAAUAUUGCGCAAUGGGGGGACGCGUGAUGUGACAGCGUUGGGUGCGUGAUGCUGGCUUUCGGGUUGUAAACAGAUUUCUAAGGUGCCGAAGAGUGCGUGACGGUAAUGGGUAAAGAAGCAACGGCUAACUACGUG